rnacentral:rRNA from 1 species
AUUGAACGCUGGCGGCGGGCUUAACACAUGCAAGUCGAGCGGAGAGAGGUAGCUUGCUACUGAUCUUAGCGGCGGACGGGUGAGUAAUGCUUAGGAAUCUGCCUAUUAGUGGGGGACAACAUUUCGAAAGGAAUGCUAAUACCGCAUACGUCCUACGGGAGAAAGCAGGGGAUCUUCGGACCUCGCGCUAAUAGAUGAGCCUAAGUCGGAUUAGCUAGUUGGUGGGGUAAAGGCCUACCAAGGCGACGAUCUGUAGCGGGUCUGAGAGGAUGAUCCGCCACACUGGGACUGAGACACGGCCCAGACUCCUACGGGAGGCAGCAGUGGGGAAUAUUGGACAAUGGGCGCAAGCCUGAUCCAGCCAUGCCGCGUGUGUGAAGAAGGCCUUAUGGUUGUAAAGCACUUUAAGCGAGGAGGAGGCUACUUUAGUUAAUACCUAGAGAUAGUGGACGUUACUCGCAGAAUAAGCACCGGCAAACUCUGUGCCAGCAGCCGCCGUAA